rnacentral:pre_miRNA from 1 species
AAGGGGAGCGCGGGAUCUUGGGCUGUGUCCCUGGCGCCCUGGGCUCUCGGGCCUUUGCUGUUGGAAUCGCGCUCCAGGCCAUUCAGCCCCUU